CAGUCGCCGCGGGAAUACGUAGGGUGCAAGCGUUAAUCGGAAUUACUGGGCGUAAAGGGCGCGUAGGCGGCGGCCAAAGUCAGGCGUGAAAUUCCUGGGCUCAACCUGGGAGCUGCGCUUGAUACUUGGUUGCUUGAGUGGGGAAGAGGGUCGUGGAAUUCCCAGUGUAGAGGUGAAAUUCGUAGAUAUUGGGAAGAACACCGGUGGCGAAGGCGGCGACCUGGUCCUUGACUGACGCUGAGGCGCGAAAGCGUGGGGAGCAAAUGGGAUUAGAGACCCGCGUAGUCCCUGUCUCUUAUAC
rnacentral:rRNA from 1 species